rnacentral:rRNA from 1 species
AGGGCGCAUGGGGGAUGUCUUGGCAUUAGGAGGCUUUGAAGGGCGCGGAAGGCUGCGAAAAGCCUGGGGUAACCGUCAAACAGGUGAUGAUCCCGGGAUUCCCGAACUGGCUGUAACUGAAUACAUAGGUUGCAGUGGCCAACGCGGAGAACUGAAACAUCUAAGUAUCCGUAGGAAUAGAAAGAAAAAUCGAUUUCCUGAGUAGCGGCGAGCGAAAGGGAAAUAGCCCAAACCGUGGUGGUUUCCACUGCGGGGUUGUAGGGCCCUCCACCGGAGUUAUCAAACAAUUAGCUAGCAGAACGACUUGGAAAGGUCGUCCACAGAGGGUGACAGACCCGUACGCGAAAGUUAAUUGUCUCUGGAGGGUACCCUGAGUAGGUUGAGGCACGUGAAACCUCGACUGAAUCUACGGGGACCAUCCCGUAAGGCUAAAUACUCCCUAAUGACCGAUAGUAAACAAGUAGAGCGAUCGAAAGAUGAGAAGAACCCCUGUUAGGGGAGGAAUGUGAACCUGAAACCAUGUGCCUACAAGCGGUCGGAGCGCUAUGGCCUUUUUGGCAAUGCGUGACGGCGUGCCUUUUGCAUAAUGAUCCGGCGAGUUACCGUCAGCGGCUCGGUUAAGGCCUUUCGGGCCGAAGCCAUAGGGAAACCGAGUCUGAAUAGGGCGACUAUUGGUCGCUGGUGGUAGACGCGAAACUGCACGAACUACCCAUGAGCAGGUUGAAUCGCGGGUAAAACCGCGUGGAGGACCGAACCCACUUGGGUUGAAAACCGAGGGGAUGACUUGUGGGGAGGAGUGAAAGUCUAAUCAAGCGCAGAGAUAGCUCGUUCUCUCCGAAAUAGCUUUAGGGCUAGCCUCGGGCAAUAGACAGUGGGGGUAGAGAGACUGAAUUGGAUGGGGGCCCUUCCCGGGUACCUCACCGAACCAAACUCCGAAUACCAUUGUCCGUACCCCGGGAGUCAGUCCGCGAGGGAUAAGCUUCGCGGUCGAGAGGGAAACAACCCAGACCACCUGCUAAGGUCCCCAAGUAAAACUCAGUCACUAAGGAAGUGAUUUUGCUAUGACAGCCAGGAUGUUGGCUUAGAAGCAGCCACCAUUUAAAAAGUGCGUAACAGCUUACUGGUCGAGCAAUUUUGCGCCGAUAAUGAACGGGAGUUAAGUUUUACACCGAAGCAGUGGGAUCCACUUUGUGGAUCGGUAGGAGAGCGCUGUACGUCAGAUACAAGUCGCACCGAAAGGAGCGAUGGUGGGGCGUACAGGUGAUUAUGCCGGAAUGAGUAACGAUAAAGCAGGUGAGAAUCCUGCUCGCCGAAAGCCUAAGGUUUCCUGGGGAAGGUAAAUCCGCCCAGGGUUAGCCGGUUCCUUAGUCGAGGCCGAAAGGCGUAGACGAUGGAUAGCAGGUCAACAUUCCUGCGCCACAUGCCGGACUGAUGGAGGGACGGCGUCUGAAAGGUGAGGGGACGGAUAGAAAUGUCCCUCGCCUGUGUGGAGGGUAGCUGUAGGCAAAUCCGCAGCGACAUCCUGAAGCAUGGGACAAAGACGUUUAUGUUUCGAUAGUCACCAGAAGGACGUCCAAGAAAAGCUUCUAGGGUUGAUGGCAUGUGACCGUACUAAAACUGACACAGGUAGGCGGGACGAGAAGUCCUAGGCGCUCGGGAGAACACUGGUUAAGGAACUCUGCAAAAUGGCCCCGUAAGUUCGCGAUAAGGGGUGCCCUCUUUGGUUUACGCUGAGGAGGGUCACAGUAAAUCGGCAUCAGCGACUGUUUAUCAAAAACACAGGACUCUGCUAACUCGCAAGAGGAUGUAUAGAGUCUGACGCCUGCCCGGUGCUGGUAGGUUAAGGAAGAGGGUUAGCCGUAAGGCGAAGCUCGCGACCGAAGCCCCAGUAAACGGCGGCCGUAACUAUGACGGUCCUAAGGUAGCGAAGUUCCUUGUCGGGUAAGUUCCGACCUGCAUGAAAGGCGUAACGACUGAUGCACUGUCUCAACCAGUGACCCGGUGAAAUUGUAGCCGUGGUGAAGAUGCCACGUACCCGCAGUAUGACGGAAAGACCCCGUGAACCUUUACUGUAGGCUGAUAUUGGUCUUGGACGUGUUCUGUGUAGGAUAGGUGGGAGGCUUUGAAGCAGUGACGCUAGUCAUUGUGGAGCCAACGUUGAAAUACCACCCUGGAUUCGUUUGAGUUCUAACGCUGAUUCCCGUGAAACCGGGCAGCGGACAGUUUCAGUUGGGCAGUUUGACUGGGGCGGUCUCCUCCCAAAGAGUAACGGAGGAGU